rnacentral:tRNA from 1 species
GGGGCGACAACCAGCAUCUUUGUGAGCAGCGGACUCAUAAUCCGUCGGUCCCGGGUUCAAGUCCCGGUCGCCCUA